CCUCAGGCCACGGGCCCACUUCUCUGCCAGGAGGAGACGACCAUUCAGGCUGACCUGGCACACAUUCUGGGACCAGAAAGGAAAAAGGGUCUUCAGAAUAGAAGUUUUGCUGCAGCAGCUUAAACUAUCCCAGGACUUUUUGGUCUGAUCUUGUGCUAGUUUGGCAUCAUUAACCGCCAGUCUGGAGUUUGGAUGGGAACAACCACAAGUGGCCCCUCAGUGUCUCUUGGGAUUUCCAAGAGAAUGGAAAUGUCACAUGGUUGAUGCCUUUCCAGCUCCGUGUGGAUAAGUACAAAGAGCUGCUUCCAACCAUCUCUUCAUUUCCUCCAGUCCUUCAGUCUCCAUCAGUGUCUCUGUGCCCUGGGAGACUGAAAACUCCGAGAGGUCAAAGAUCACACUUGUUUUGUGCACACCUUGUCUCCAGUACCCGGCACAAUGCUUUCUACACAAAACCUAAAGCUGCAUCAGAGUGCUUUUUAAGAUGAUACUUCAGACACCCACCAACAAUCAAUAAGAGACAGCAUGAGAGGCAAGACCUAUUUACUAUUCCUUUUGUGCCCUUUUUUUGUGCCUUCCCUAAGCAAUACUGUAUACCAAGAAAGACGAACCUUCUCAGAGAGAGAGAGAGACAACAAACUUUUUAGCUUCUUCAAAAUCUGCCACAGAAGACAAAGUCAUCCCCAUGGGAUUAUCACAGGGCCUUGAGCCACUGGCCAUACUAAGACAUGGAUUCUUAGAAUCCUUCCAAAAACAGCAAAAGGAAAAUCGCAAAACCCCAAGUCUGGCCUGCCUUGUGGCACCGUGUUGGCAAUUAGCAUGAUAUUAAAAGUGUCCUGAUGCUCUUCUGGGUACAAAAGCUCAGCUUUGCUUCAUGGUACCAAGUAGUUCUGAGGCUCAGAUGUGUAUUUUUCUGUCUUUAAGUUGAAGCAGUAAGAAAAAGAAAGCAAGCUGGUAGCAGAGAUUAGGGCGGAAGCUAGGGUAUGUGGAGCGAGUCCAGGGAGGGGCUGAGGACGGCAG